rnacentral:lncRNA from 1 species
GACAUCAAUAAGGGAUCAUAUCUUUCACCUGGAUUCACCUGGUCGUCUAUGUCACGGAAAGGCAGCUGUUCUUAUGUUUUGCCACUCAGUGUAUAUUUAUAAUAACGUUCCCCUGAGCGACGUGGAUGGAACUAGUCAUAUUUCAGUGAGAGUUUAUAACCAAGUGAACGACAUAAGAUUUAACAUACCUUAUGCACAUUGUAGAAUGCCGGUAAGUUAUAUUUGAAGAGUGAGAGGGCUGUCAUUAGUUAUAUUUGAAGUUGGAGGGCUCAGUUCAUAGUUAUAUUUGAAGAGUGACGGGUUCAGUCAUAGUUAUAUUUGAAGAGUGAGAGGGUUCAGUCAUAGUUAUAUUUGAGGGAGAGGGUUCAGUCAUAGUUAUAUUUGAAGAGGGAGAGGGUUCAGUCAUGUUAUAUUUGAAGAGGAGAGGUUCAGCAUAGUUAUAUUUGAGAGGGAGAGGGGCUCAGUCUAGUUAUAUUGAGAGGAGAGGGUCAGUCUCGUUAUAUUUGAAGAGGGAGAGAGGCUCAGUCAUAGUUAUAUUUGAAGAGGGAGAGGGCUCAGUCAUAGUUAUAUUUGAAGAGGGGCAGGGUCAGUCUAUUUAUUUUGAAGAGGGAGAGGUCAGUCUAGUUAUAUUUGAAGAGGGAGAGGGCUCAGUCAUAGUUAUAUUUGAAGAGGGAGAGGGCUCAGUCAUAGUUAUAUUUGAGAGGAGAGGGUCAGUCAAGUUAUAUUUGAGAGUGAGGGGUUCAGUCAUGUUAUAUUGAAGAGGGAGAGGGUUCAGUAUAGUUAUAUUUGAAGGGAGAGGUUCAGUUAGUUAUAUUUGAGAGGGAGAGGGCUCUGUCUGUUUUCAUGUUUCUUCUAACUGUUUGGUGACACGUACAAAUGGUUUGCCGACGGAUCUAUGCAAUCGCCUCAUAUAAGUUUUUUAAAUUUGGAGUGAUUUUAAUAUUCGUGUUUGUUUUUGUAAUGUUGUUUUAUUAAUAAAAAUAAAAAUAAAAUGUUAUCACCAAGACUGUGACAGUCAAUUUAGUUUAAAAUUC